rnacentral:lncRNA from 1 species
CUAGUUUCUAACCUAUGAAGGGAAGAUAAUAAGACCUGCUCAGAGUGUUGGUGUGAAAACGAAGGAAGAUAGCACACAUCAUGUCUCUAAGUUUACCAACAUCCAGCUUAAAAUGCAGUGCUCAGAACCCAGCAAGUACCCACACCAUGGUUCAUCAACUGGAGAGCAUGUGAUUGGUGCUUUCGUCAGCAGAAUGAAUCAGAGAAACUAGGUUUCACUUGGGCAGUGUGAAGAGUGCAGAUGGAAACCAGGGGCAAGCUUCAGCCAUGGGGAGGGCCCACACACUGCUGGGAGAGCCCGGGCACCAAGGGAGGGCCAGUGCCAUUGUUUUUGGAGCCCUUCUACUUGGUGUGGAUGAAAUCAUCUUGCUGGCCUCCUUCCUCAGUGUCCACCAAGAUAGCAGGAAAGAGAGUCAUAAGAGGACUAUCCUUUACCAAGCACUUAUGUCACCAGUACAGAGGAUAAGGAAACUGAGGUAGGAAGCUGCUAAGCAAUUUUUCCCCCGGACACACAGUGAGUCCAGCAGAAGAACCAUCUAGCUGAUCCCAGUCUGAGUUCCUGAUCCAAAGAAUCACAAGAAAUAAUAAAUUAUCGUUGUAAGCCACCAA